rnacentral:rRNA from 1 species
GGUCAAGCGAACAAGUACAUGUGGUGGAUGCCUUGGCGAUCACAGGCGAUGAAGAACGCGAUGCGGUAGCUUGCGAAAAGCGAUGGGGAGCUGGCAAACGAACUUUGAUCCGUGGUGUCGAUGUCCGAAUGGGGAAGCCCGCCGGCCCGCUUCUGGGUCGUCCUGAGCUGAAUACAUAGGCUCAGUGAAGCGGACGCGGUGAACUGAAACAUCUAAGUAACCGCAGGAAUAAAGAAAUCAACCGAGAUUCCUAAAGUAGUGGCGAGCGAAAUGGGAUCAGCCUGUACUCUUCAACACGGUCGUUAGCCCAACACUUUGGACAUAGCAGGUGAUAGCCUUGUAGGCGAAAGCGAAUGUGUGGACUUAUACGACAAGUAGGGCGGGACACGUGGAAUCUUGUCUGAAGAUGGGGGCCAUCCUCCAAGGUUAAAUACUCGUGAUCGACCGAUAGUGAACCAGUACCGUGAGGGGAAGGCGAAAAGAACCUCGGGAGGGGAGUGAAAUAAAUCCUGAAACUGCAUGCAUAAAAACAGUCGGAGCCUUUGCGAAGGGGUGGCGAUGUACCUUUUGUAUAAUGAGUCAGCCACUUACGUUCAGUAGCAAGCUGAACUGAUUAAGACAAGCGUAGCGAAAGCGAGUCCGAAUAGGGCGUUCAGUUGCUGGGCGUAGACCCGAAACCCAGUGAUCUAUCCAUAGCCAGGUUGAAGGUGCGGUAACACGUACUGGAGGACGAACCCACUAAUGUUGAAAAAUUAGGAGAUGAGCUGUGGAUGGGGUGAAAGGCUAAACAAACUUGGAAAUAGCUGGUUCUUUCCGAAAACUAUUUAGGUAGUGCCUCGUGUAUCAUCGGAGGUAGAGCGCUGUCAUGGUUGUGGGGUCCAUUGCGGGUUACUACGCCAUAGCAGAUUCCAAAUACCGAAGAGUGCAAUCACGGGGGACAGACAUAGGGUGCUAACGUCCGGUGUCAAGAGGGAAACAACCCAGACCGCCAGCUAAGGUCCCCAAAUAUUGCUAAGCGGGAAGGCUAAAACAGUCAAGAGGUUGGCUUAGAAGCAGCCGUCUUUUAAAGAAAGCGUAAUAGCUCACUGGUCGAGUCGUAUCGCACGGAAGAUGUAACGGGGCUAAGUAAUAUACCGAAGCUGCGGAUGCGAGAUUUAUCUCGCAUAGUAGGAGAGCGUUCCGUAAGUUUGUGAAGGCGCAUUGAAAAGUGUGUUGGAGGUAUCGGAAGUGCGAAUGCUGACAUGAGUAAUCGGCAUAGGGG